rnacentral:rRNA from 1 species
UGGGGGAUAUUGCACAAUGGGCGAAAGCCUGAUGCAGCGACGCCGCGUGAGGGAAGACGGUUUUCGGAUUGUAAACCUCUGUCUUCGGGGACGAUAAUGACGGUACCCGAGGAGGAAGCACCGGCUAACUACGUGCCAGCAGCCGCGGUAAUACAGAGGUCUCAAGCGUUGUUCGGAAUCACUGGGCGUAAAGGGUACGUAGGCUGCAUCAUAAGUCGGGCGUGAAAGGCAGGGGCUCAACCCCUGGAGUGCGCUUGAUACUGUGAUGCUAGAGUCAUGGAGGGGGAACCGGAACUCUCGGUGUAGCAGUGAAAUGCGUAGAUAUUGGGAGGAACACCAGUGGCGAAGGCGGCCUGCUGGACAUUAACUGACGCUGAGGCGCGAAAGCGUGGGGAGCAAACA